CCCAAGCCGAUUCCAGCUGCGCGUGGUUCUCUGGCCAGGGAAGCGGGAGCAGCGCUGACGUGUUUCCUGCGCAGACUCCCCGCCCCUCCCUGUGCCGUCCGCCCGGCGGACCGGCUCGCCGCCCAGACACCGCCAGGUCUGCAAGUGGCCUGUCCCCCGGGGCGAGGGGGGGACCUGCCGGAUGCCCUCGUUCCCGGGAGGCCGGUCACGCACUUCCGCUUCUCUUCGCGGCUUUGGGCUCCUUCGCUUUGAGGUCAUGGUUCCUAAGGAUGGAGCGCCACCGCCUGGGGACACAGCUGACCGCCCCCCUCCCCCGCACUGAGCUCAGUGGCCCCCAGGACGGGGAGGGCGGAGCCCCGUGGCCCUCUGGGCACUUUCAUCACUAAGAUCCUGGCUGAUAAAGGCUCCAGAUACCUCGGGACGGAGAUGCUCGGCUAGGCGUACUCCGGGUGCUUGGCACGUGCAAAGGAGCCGCUGUUCACCCAGGAGUCGGCUCAGAGGCAGGACAAAGCGUCCACACCGUGACCUGAUAACCUGCGAGGCAGCCGCCACUGGUGACCCGUCUACGCGCUGGAGACACCAGGGUUGCCCUCCCGGCCAAUCACCUGAGUGGCUCUGAGCCCCCGCGUCGUCUACCAGGCCUGGGACCCAGUCUUGGGGUGGGGAGUGCCCCGGGGCGCCCCAACGGCUUGGAGUCGCUCUAGGCCUGGGUGUGGGAGGGCUUUUCUGGAAGGUGCUCACUUGGCACGUCAUCACCACGCCUCAGUGCGCCCUGACAACACCACCUGCCCUGAGGUGGAGAUGCACGCGCGCACACACACACACACACACACACACACACACACGCUCACGCUAAACCAACACACGUGUCUGACAUUUGGACGCAAUUUAAAAACACAUCCAAACAAGACACGAACAAUGACCUUUCCUGAG